rnacentral:rRNA from 1 species
GACGAACGCUGGCGGCGUGCUUAACACAUGCAAGUCGAACGGUAAGGCCCUUCGGGGUACACGAGUGGCGAACGGGUGAGUAACACGUGGGUGAUCUGCCCUGCACUUCGGGAUAAGCCUGGGAAACUGGGUCUAAUACCGGAUAGGACCACUGCCUGCAUGGGUGGUGGUGGAAAGCUUUUGCGGUGUGGGAUGGGCCCGCGGCCUAUCAGCUUGUUGGUGGGGUGAUGGCCUACCAAGGCGACGACGGGUAGCCGGCCUGAGAGGGUGACCGGACAGACUGGGACUGGGAUACGGCCCAGACUCCUACGGGAGGCAGCAGUGGGGAAUAUUGCACAAUGGGCGGAAGCCUGAUGCAGCGACGCCGCGUGAGGGAUGACGGCCUUCGGGUUGUAAACCUCUUUCAGCACCGACGAAGCGCAAGUGACGGUAGGUGCAGAAGAAGGACCGGCCAACUACGUGCCAGCCGCCGCGGUAACAC